rnacentral:misc_RNA from 1 species
CUUAACCAAUACGGUAUCGGUUUCCUAAAUCUACUUUACAAUAUUAUCAAACCAGGACUUUAGGCCGUUCCGUAAUAUACAAGGAAACGUAACACCCAAGUCAUGAUCUGUUACAUAUUCCAUAGAUAUAAGUUAUCCCCUAUGACUAGUCGGAUAACCAUGCCGUAUGGGUAUGGGGUA